CCUACGGGAGGCAGCAGUGGGGAAUAUUGGACAAUGGGCGAAAGCCUGAUCCAGCAAUGCCGCGUGAGUGAUGAAGGCCUUAGGGUUGUAAAGCUCUUUUACCCGAGAUGAUAAUGACAGUAUCGGGAGAAUAAGCUCCGGCUAACUCCGUGCCAGCAGCCGCGGUAAUACGGAGGGAGCUAGCGUUGUUCGGAAUUACUGGGCGUAAAGCGCACGUAGGCGGCUUUUUAAGUCAGGGGUGAAAUCCCGGGGCUCAACCCCGGAACUGCCCUUGAAACUGGGAAGCUAGAAUCUUGGAGAGGCGAGUGGAAUUCCGAGUGUAGAGGUGAAAUUCGUAGAUAUUCGGAAGAACACCAGUGGCGAAGGCGACUCGCUGGACAAGUAUUGACGCUGAGGUGCGAAAGCGUGGGGAGCAAACAGGAUUAGGUACCCUGGUAGUCCACGCCGUAAACGAUGAUAACUAGCUGUCCGGGUUCAUGGAACUUGGGUGGCGCAGCUAACGCAUUAAGUUAUCCGCCUGGGGAGUACGGUCGCAAGAUUAAAACUCAAAGGAAUUGACGG
rnacentral:rRNA from 1 species